AUUGAACGCUGGCGGCAUGCCUAACACAUGCAAGUCGAACGGGGCAGCAAUGCCUAGUGGCAGACGGGUGAGGAAUACGUAGGAAUCUGCCCUUAAGUGGGGGAUAACCAGGGGAAACCCUGACUAAUACCGCAUGAUCUCUUCGGAGCAAAGAGGGGGACCGCAAGGCCUCUCGCUUCUGGAUGAGCCUACGUCUGAUUAGCUAGUUGGUAGGGUAAAGGCCUACCAAGGCGACGAUCAGUAACUGGUCUGAGAGGAUGAUCAGUCACACCGGAACUGAGACACGGUCCGGACUCCUACGGGAGGCAGCAGUGGGGAAUAUUGGACAAUGGGCGCAAGCCUGAUCCAGCAAUGCCGCGUGUGUGAAGAAGGCCUUCGGGUUGUAAAGCACUUUAGCCUGGAAAGAAAAAACUUUGGUUAACACCCAAAGUCUUGACGGUACCAGGAGAAUAAGCACCGGCUAACUACGUGCCAGCCGCCGCAGUAAUAC
rnacentral:rRNA from 1 species